AUACGGAGGAUGCAAGCGUUAUCCGGAUUUAUUGGGUUUAAAGGGUGCGUAGGCGGAUGAUUAAGCGUGAGGUGAAAUGCCACUGCUCAACAGUGGAACUGCCUCGCGAACUGGUUGUCUUGAAUGCUCCUGCCGUGGGAGGAAUGUGUGGUGUAGCGGUGAAAUGCAUAGAGAUCACACAGAACACCGAUUGCGAAGGCAUCGCACGAAGGGGUGAUUGACGCUGAGGCACGAAAGCGUGGGGAUCAAACAGGAUUAGAUACCCUGGUAGUCCAUGCAGUAAACGAUGAUAACUAGCCGCUGGGUCGUAGUGAUUCAGUGGCCAAGCGAAAGCGAUAAGUUAUCCACCUGGGGAGUACGACCGCAAGGUUGUAACUCAAAUGAAUUGACGGGG
rnacentral:rRNA from 1 species